AACCUUCGCAAUGCGCGAAAGCGUGACGAGGGGACUCCGAGUGGCCUUGCUCUGCAAGGCCUUUUGCCGAGUGUAAAAAGGCUCGGCGAAUAAGGGGUGGGUAAGACGGGUGCCAGCCGCCGCGGUAAUACCCGCGCCCCAAGUGGUGGCCGCUUUUAUUGGGCCUAAAGCGUCCGUAGCCGGCCCGGUAAGUCUACGGUUAAAUCCCGCUGCAAACAGCGGAACUGCCGUAGAUACUGCCGGGCUAGGGACCGGGAGAGGCCGGGGGUACGGCCGGGGUAGGGGUUAAAUCCGUUAAUCCCGGCAGGACCACCUGUGGCGAAGGCGCCCGGCUGGAA
rnacentral:rRNA from 1 species